GACAGAGGGUGCAAACGUUGUUCGGAAUUACUGGGCAUAAAGAGCACGUAGGUGGUUCGCUAAGUCACGUGUGAAAUCCCCGGGCUCAACCCGGGAACUGCGUCCGAUACUGGGAGGCUUGAAUCCGGGAGAGGGAUGUGGAAUUCCAGGUGUAGCGGUGAAAUGCGUUGAUAUCAUCAGGAACACCAGUGGCGAAAGCGGCUUACUGGGUCUCUUCUGACGCUGAGGUACGAAAGCUAGGGGAGCGAAGGGG
rnacentral:rRNA from 1 species